CCUACGGGAGGCAGCAGUGGGGAAUAUUGCACAAUGGGGGAAACCCUGAUGCAGCGACGCCGCGUGAGUGAGGAAGUAUUUCGGUAUGUAAAGCUCUAUCAGCAGGGAAGAAAAUUCCGGUACCUGACUAACAAGCCCCGGCUAACUACGUGCCAGCAGCCGCCGUAAUACGUAGGGGGCAAGCGUUAUCAGGAUUUACUGGGGGUAAAGGGAGCGUAGACGGAAUUGCAAGUCUGAUGUGAAAAUCCGGGGCCAAACGCCGGAACUGCAUUUGAAACUGUAUUGCUAGAGUGUCGGAGAGGAAAGUGGAAGUCCUGGUGUAGCGGUGAAAUGCGUAGAUAUCAGGAGGAACACCAGUGGCGAAGGCGGCUUGCUGGACGAUGACUGACGUUGAGGCUCGAAAGCGUGGGGAGCAAACAGGAUUAGAUACCCGUGUAGUC
rnacentral:rRNA from 1 species